rfam:Thielavia terrestris NRRL 8126 chromosome 5, complete sequence.
GCCGGCGUGGCGCAAUUGGUUAGCGCGUCAGACUUUUAAUCUGAAUGUUGCGAGUUCGAGUCUCGCCGUUGGCG